rnacentral:lncRNA from 1 species
UUUGAGCCUGGGGCCCGCAGCUGGCACAGCCUGGGUGCAUGGCAGCACUAUAGAUAUCCUGAGAAACAGGAUCUCUCUUUCUCAUCCCUGGCUCCCCAAAUGGGCACAGGUGGCACGGAGCUCUGUGUAUGAGGGGACUUGCUCCUGGACCCCAUGCUUCUAUCCUUCCUCUACUCUUUGCAAAGAGCAAAGGACCCUCUCCCCAAACUUCCACUCAGAGCCACCUCUGUUCUGUCUACCUUCCACUCUCUUCCCCGUGAUUCCUGGUGGUGAUCAAAUAACCGUAUUUAGAGCUUUAAUUAGGUCAGAACUCUCUUGGUCCAUGACAAAUCCAGAGGAAUGUACACCUGAGGCUGGAGUCAGGCCAUCUUCCUCACAUGAGAGGCAAGUCUGGUUUUUCCCAUCUUGAUAGUUUUGCCCCAUCAACAUCACAAACCCCACUACUCCCUAUAGCGUCAGGCAGACCAAGACUAAAACCCUCCCAUUCCCAAGUCUCACAGUCUUGCUUGUUCCUUCCAACAUCUCUUGAGAUGCACCCUGCUCUCAGUAACUCGUGCUGUUCCUGAGGGACUCUUGUGUUUCCCUGAAAUGACUCUCUUCUAGAAUCAGGCUCUGCCUGCCCCAAGGUGGCUAACCUUCCCACUUCCAUGGCUCCCCUGGUUAGUCCCUAUAGGUCUGAUGCUCCGCCCACUUGCCCACUUCCCUGUCAUGGUCACCUUUAGGAGAAAGCAUGCUGGCUGAGUCGCCCAAGCCUGAUGCUGGUUUUGGCUCUGGACUCGGAAUGCAGCCUGCUCACAGCGCCCUGAUGCCCUCCGUGACACACAUACCCACCCCUCCACAUAGAACACAAGUCCCCCGGUGCAUGCACCAUGCCCACUGCCUUUCUUUGCACUGAUGUAGCCAAAAAUAAAGUAGGAAUAUCC